rnacentral:rRNA from 1 species
AGAGUUUGAUCCUGGCUCAGGAUGAACGCUAGCGGCAGGCUUAACACAUGCAAGUCGAGGGGCAGCGCGGUGUAGCAAUACACUGGCGGCGACCGGCGCAAGGGUGCGUAACGCGUGAGCGACAUACCCGUGACUGGGGCAUAACCGAUGGAAACGUCGCCUAAUUCCCCAUAAUACAAGGGACCGCAUGAUUCCUUGUUGAAAACUUCGGUGGUCACGGAUUGGCUCGCGUCCCAUUAGCUAGUCGGCGGGGUAACGGCCCACCGAGGCGACGAUGGGUAGGGGUUCUGAGAGGAAGGUCCCCCACAAUGGAACUGAGACACGGUCCAUACUCCUACGGGAGGCAGCAGUGAGGAAUAUUGGUCAAUGGGCGGAAGCCUGAACCAGCCAUGCCGCGUGCAGGAUGACGGCCCUAUGGGUUGUAAACUGCUUUUGCCGGAGAGCAAUAAGGGCAUCGUGCAUGUCCGAUGAGAGUAUUCGGCGAAUAAGCAUCGGCUAACUCCGUGCCAGCAGCCGCGGUAAUACGGAGGAUGCGAGCGUUAUCCGGAUUUAUUGGGUUUAAAGGGUGCGUAGGCUGUGCGUUAAGUCAGGGGUGAAAUGCCGUUGCUCAACAUCGGAGCUGCCCUUGAUACUGGCGUGCUGGAGUACGGAUGCCGUUGGAGGAAUGAGUAGUGUAGCGGUGAAAUGCAUAGAUAUUACUCAGAACACCGAUUGCGAAGGCAUCUGACGAAUCCGUAACUGACGCUGAGGCACGAAAGCGUGGGGAUAGAACAGGAUUAGAUACCCUGGUAUUCCACGCUGUAAACGAUGAUGACUAACCGCCGGCGACAGACCGAUCGGUGGCCAAGCGAAAGCGAUAAGUCAUCCACCUGGGGAGUACGACCGCAAGGUUGAAACUCAAAGGAAUUGACGGGGGCCCGCACAAGCGGAGGAACAUGUGGUUUAAUUCGACGCAACGCGAAGAACCUUACCUGAUCUUGACAUCGUAAGAACCUCACUGAAGGGUGAGGGUGCCUUCGGGAACUUACAGACAGGUGCUGCAUGGCUGUCGUCAGCUCGUGUCGUGAGAUGUUGGGUUAAGUCCCGCAACGAGCGCAACCCUUGUCCUUUGUUGCCAGCGGGUAAAGCCGGGAACUCAAAGGAGACUGCCAGUGACAAACUGGAGGAAGGCAGGGAUGACGUCAAGUCAUCAUGGCCCUUACGGUCAGGGCUACACACGUGCUACAAUGGGGCGUACAGAGGGAAACGAUACCGCGAGGUGGAGUGGAACCCAAAAAGCGUCCCUAAGUUCGGAUUGGAGUCUGCAACUCGACUCCAUGAAGUCGGAAUCGCUAGUAAUCGCAAAUCAGAAUGUUGCGGUGAAUACGUUCCCGGGCCUUGUACACACCGCCCGUCACACCAUGGGAGUGGAUUGCACCAGAAGUAGCUAGCUUAACUUUAUUGAGGGCGGUUACCACGGUGUGGUUUAUGACUGGGGUGAAGUCGUAACAAGGUAACCAUAGGGGAACCUGUGGUUGGAUCACCUCCUU